GAUGAACGCUGGCGGCGUGCCUAAUACAUGCAAGUCGAGCGAAUGGAUUAAGAGCUUGCUCUUAUGAAGUUAGCGGCGGACGGGUGAGUAACACGUGGGUAAUCUGCCCAUAAGACUGGGAUAACUCCGGGAAACCGGGGCUAAUACCGGAUAACAUUUUGAACCGCAUGGUUCGAAAUUGAAAGGCGGCUUCGGCUGUCACUUAUGGAUGGACCCGCGUCGCAUUAGCUAGUUGGUGAGGUAACGGCUCCCCAAGGCAACGAUGCGUAGCCGACCUGAGAGGGUGAUCGGCCACACUGGGACUGAGACACGGCCCAGACUCCUACGGGAGGCAGCAGUAGGGAAUCUUCCGCAAUGGACGAAAGUCUGACGGAGCAACGCCGCGUGAGUGAUGAAGGCUUUCGGGUCGUAAAACUCUGUUGUUAGGGAAGAACAAGUGCUAGUUGAAUAAGCUGGCACCUUGACGGUACCUAACCAGAAAGCCACGGCUAACUACGUGCCAGCCGCCGCGGUAA
rnacentral:rRNA from 1 species